rnacentral:rRNA from 1 species
CCCUUAGAUGUUCUGGGCCGCACGCGUGCUACACUGAGUAAUUCAAUGGGUAAGGGAACGCUAGAGCAUUACCUAAUCUUGAAAUUUGCUCGUGAUGGGGAUCGACGGUUGCAAUUUUCCGUCGUGAACGAGGAAUACCUUGUAGGCGCAUGUCAUCAUCAUGCGCCGAAUACGUCCCUGCCCUUUGUACACACCGCCCGUCGCUCCUACCGAUUGAGUGGUCCGGUGAGGCUUUGGGAUCUGAGCGGAAAGAGCGUUUCGCUGUUUCUGCUCGGAAAACUCAGUCGAACCUUAUCAUUUAGAGGAAGGAGAAGUCGUAACA